rnacentral:lncRNA from 1 species
CUUUUGGAGCCCUUUCUGGUUUCUACUUACCAAUUGACGGUUGGAGAGACAAACAUAAUUGGGCCUAUAACAAAAAGGGCAUCAUGCUGGAAUUCUAUGUUUUUUUACAUAUAUAUACAAGCUAUUGCUGCUGGAAAAAAAAAAAAAAAUAAAAAUAAAGAUCAAUUGGAAUUCCACCUCAAUUAGGGGACUAAUUAGGCUGCUAAAAGAGAAAUAUAUAUACAGCUUACGCACAAGAACAGAGGAGAAUUGUUGGGAAGUCAAUUUGGGGCUGACUUUCAUUCUUUUACCGACCAAUUCACGCACCGGAGCAGCCAACUGGUGGAAGGAAGGUACACGCCAAAUGUGGGAGGGAAAAAGUCAGAAAACUUGUUGGAAAAAAAAUCAACAAAGAGCACAAAAAAGGAGCGGCUGAUUGGGGAGUUAAAUUGGGCUGGAAUUAUAUAUAUAACACUGGGCUUUUGGACACGCAGACACAUAAGACAUUGGGCAGCUGAAAAAUUUGAAGGAAGUAGAAUUAUUUUACACACUUUGGUGGUUGAUUACAGAAGAGAGGCUGGUCGAUAUAUAAAUAUAUUUAUACCAAAAGAGACAAGAACUUCGGUG